GAUGCCUAUUGUUAAUGCUGCAAAAGAACAACAAAGACUAUCAGGGCGUAUGCUUUAUUGCAUGGCUUGAGAUGAAUCUCUCUACAGAAUACAGGAUGGUUGAGAGAUUUUGGUCAACUUUAACUAGUUUGAGCAUGGACCAUGGUACCUCAGCAAAAUCAGCAGAGUUGAAGAAGACCAUAAACAUAUUGUUUUACUAAAAGUGCUUGGAUUCCAAAGCAAAGUCACAUGACUGGAUAUGUAAGAUUUAUUGGUGAAUACCAUUGUCUAUUGUUAAAAUGGAUCAUAAUUCGAUAUCCGGGAUSCAUAAUAAAUGGUUAAAAAUU